AGCGAACGCUGGCGGCAGGCCUAACACAUGCAAGUCGAACGAACCUUUCGGGGUUAGUGGCGGACGGGUGAGUAACACGUGGGAACGUGCCUUUAGGUUCGGAAUAACUCAGGGAAACUUGUGCUAAUACCGAAUGUGCCCUUCGGGGGAAAGAUUAAUCGCCUUUAGAGCGGCCCGCGUCUGAUUAGCUAGUUGGUUGAGGUAAUGGCUCACCAAGGCGACGAUCAGUAGCUGGUCUGAGAGGAUGAUCAGCCACAUUGGGACUGAGACACGGCCCAAACUCCUACGGGAAGCAGCAGUGGGGGAUCUUGCGCAAUGGGCGAAAGCCUGACGCAGCCAUGCCGCGUGAAUGAUGAAGGUCGUAGGAUUGUAAAAUUCUUUCACCGGGGACGAUAAUGACGGUACCCGGAGAAGAAGCCCCGGCUAACUUCGUG
rnacentral:rRNA from 1 species